rnacentral:rRNA from 1 species
CAGGCUUAACACAUGCAAGUCGAGGGGCAGCAUGGUCUUAGCUUGCUAAGGCCGAUGGCGACCGGCGCACGGGUGAGUAACACGUAUCCAACCUGCCGUCUACUCUUGGACAGCCUUCUGAAAGGAAGAUUAAUACAAGAUGGCAUCAUGAGUCCGCAUGUUCACAUGAUUAAAGGUAUUCCGGUAGACGAUGGGGAUGCGUUCCAUUAGAUAGUAGGCGGGGUAACGGCCCACCUAGUCUUCGAUGGAUAGGGGUUCUGAGAGGAAGGUCCCCCACAUUGGAACUGAGACACGGUCCAAACUCCUACGGGAGGCAGCAGUGAGGAAUAUUGGUCAAUGGGCGAGAGCCUGAACCAGCCAAGUAGCGUGAAGGAUGACUGCCCUAUGGGUUGUAAACUUCUUUUAUAAAGGAAUAAAGUCGGGUAUGGAUACCCGUUUGCAUGUACUUUAUGAAUAAGGAUCGGCUAACUCCGUGCCAGCAGCCGCGGUAAUACGGAGGAUCCGAGCGUUAUCCGGAUUUAUUGGGUUUAAAGGGAGCGUAGACGGAUGUUUAAGUCAGUUGUGAAAGUUUGCGGCUCAACCGUAAAAUUGCAGUUGAUACUGGAUAUCUUGAGUGCAGUUGAGGCAGGCGGAAUUCGUGGUGUAGCGGUGAAAUGCUUAGAUAUCACGAAGAACUCCGAUUGCGAAGGCAGCCUGCUAAGCUGCAACUGACAUUGAGGCUCGAAAGUGUGGGUAUCAAACAGGAUUAGAUACCCUGGUAGUCCACACGGUAAACGAUGAAUACUCGCUGUUUGCGAUAUACAGCAAGCGGCCAGGCGAAAGCGUUAAGUAUUCCACCUGGGGAGUACGCCGGCAACGGUGAAACUCAAAGGAAUUGACGGGGGCCCGCACAAGCGGAGGAACAUGUGGUUUAAUUCGAUGAUACGCGAGGAACCUUACCCGGGCUUAAAUUGCAGAUGAAUUACGGUGAAAGCCGUAAGCCGCAAGGCAUCUGUGAAGGUGCUGCAUGGUUGUCGUCAGCUCGUGCCGUGAGGUGUCGGCUUAAGUGCCAUAACGAGCGCAACCCUUGUUGUCAGUUACUAACAGGUUCCGCUGAGGACUCUGACAAGACUGCCAUCGUAAGAUGUGAGGAAGGUGGGGAUGACGUCAAAUCAGCACGGCCCCUACGUCCGGGGCUACACACGUGUUACAAUGGGGGGUACAGAGGGCCGCUACCACGCGAGUGGACGCCAAUCCCCAAAACCUCUCUCAGUUCGGACUGGAGUCUGCAACCCGACUCCACGAAGCUGGAUUCGCUAGUAAUCGCGCAUCAGCCACGGCGCGGUGAAUACGUUCCCGGGCCUUGUACACACCGCCCGUCAAGCCAUGGGAGCCGGGGGUACCUGAAGUGCGUAACCGCGAGGAGCGCCCUAGGGUAAAACUGGUGACUGGGGCUAAGA